AGCGGCAGCGCGGGAGCAAUCCUGGCGGCGAGCGGCGAACGGGUGAGUAAUGCUUCGGAAUCUGCCCAGUAGUGGGGAAUAACCAAUCGAAAGGUUGGCUAAUGCCGCAUACGACCUUAGGGUGAAAGCGGGGGAUCGCAAGACCUCGCGCUAUCGGAUGAGCCGAAGUCGGAUUAGCUAGUUGGUGAGGUAACGGCUCACCAAGGCGACAAUCCGUAGCUGGUCUGAGAGGACGACCAGCCC
rnacentral:rRNA from 1 species